UACAGAGGUCUCAAGCGUUGUUCGGAUUCAUUGGGCGUAAAGGGUGCGUAGGCGGCGGGGCAAGUCAGGUGUGAAAUCCCGGAGCUCAACUCCGGAACUGCACUUGAUACUGCCUUGCUAGAGUACUGGAGAGGAGACUGGAAUUUACGGUGUAGCAGUGAAAUGCGUAGAUAUCGUAAGGAAGACCAGUGGCGAAGGCGACUUUCUGGCCUGUUCUUGACGCUGAGGCGCGAAAGCUAGGGGAGCAAACGGG
rnacentral:rRNA from 1 species